GACGAACGCUGGCGGCGCGCUUAACACAUGCAAGUCGAACGUGAAGCUGGAGCUUGCUCCGGUGGAAAGUGGCGAACGGGUGCGUAACACGUGAGCAACCUGCCCCGAAGACUGGGAUAACACCGGGGAAACCGGUGCUAAUACCGGAUACCUUCCUUCAAUCGCAUGGUUGGAUGAAGAAAUGGAUUCCGCUUCGGGAUGGGCUCGCGGCCUAUCAGCUUGUUGGUGAGGUAACGGCCCACCAAGGCGACGACGGGUAGCUGGUCUGAGAGGACGACCAGCCACACGGGGACUGAGACACGGCCCCGACUCCUACGGGAGGCAGCAGUGGGGAAUUUUCCGCAAUGGCGAAAGCCUGACGGAGUGACGCCGCGUGGGGACGAAGGCCUUCGGUU
rnacentral:rRNA from 1 species